rnacentral:rRNA from 1 species
AGAAUCAACGCUGGCGGCGUGCCUAACACAUGCAAGUCGAACGAGAAAGUGGAGCAAUCCAUGAGUAAAGUGGCGACCGGGUGAGUAACACGUGACUAACCUACCUUCGAGUGGGGGAUAACCCCGGGAAACCGGGGCUAAUACCGCAUAACAUCGCAAGAUCAAAGCAGCAAUGCGCUGGAAGAGGGGGUCGCGGCUGAUUAGCUAGUUGGCGGGGUAACGGCCCACCAAGGCGAAGAUCGGUA